rnacentral:rRNA from 1 species
CCUACGGGUGGCAGCAGUGAGGAAUAUUGGUCAAUGGCCGGAAGGCUGAACCAGCCAAGCCGCGUGAAGGACGAAGGUGCCAAGCAUUGUAAACUUCUUUUGUCAAGGGGCACAAUCAGGCUCGAGAGCCUGACCGAGGGUACUUGAAGAAAAAGCAUCGGCUAACUCCGUGCCAGCAGCCGGGGUAAUACGGAGGAUGCGAGCGUUAUCCGGAUUUAUUGGGGUAAAGGGGUGCGUAGGCGGGCGGUUAAGUCAGCGGGAAAAGCCCGGGCCUCAACCCCGGCGAGCCGUUGAAACUGGCUGUCUUGAGAUGUCGAGAGGUAUGCGGAAUGCGCAGUGUAGCGGUGAAAUGCUUAGAUAUUGCGCAGAACUCCGAUUGCGAAGGCAGCAUACCGGCGGCGAUCUGACGCUGAGGCACGAAAGCGUGGGUAUCGAACAGGAUUAGAUACCCUAGUAGUC